GACGAACCGUGCGAACGUUGUUCGGAAUCACUGGGCUUAAAGGGCGCGUAGGCGGCUUCCCGAGUCCGGGGUGAAAUCUUUCGGCUUAACCGGAAAAGUGCCUUGGAUACUGGGAGGCUCGAGUCCGGUAGGGGAGUGUGGAAUUCCCGGUGUAGCGGUGAAAUGCGCAGAUAUCGGGAGGAACACCAGUGGCGAAGGCGGCACUCUGGGCCGGUACUGACGCUGAGGAGCGAAAGCGUGGGGAGCGAACAGG
rnacentral:rRNA from 1 species